rnacentral:lncRNA from 1 species
ACUUCUGAGGCAACACAAUGUCUUCGCCAGGUCAGCCAAGGGAGCGCUACAGAGGACUGGAAAACGCUGGAGGCCUGGACUUCCUGAUGGUCUUGGUGGGGGUCAGGAGGAGAGCUUGGCCUACCCCGGUGGCGGGGGGCGGGGGGCUGAGUGAGAGAACAGUGGAGGAGGAAGGAAACAGGGCCCUUUUCUUGGAGAACUCCCAGCAGGGGAAAUAGAGGAGAAGGAAGAGGCUUGAACUAGCUUCCACUAAUUAUAGGGUCAGUGACAAUAAUGGCUAACACUCACAGCCACCGACUGUGUGCUAGAUGUGGCGC